rnacentral:rRNA from 1 species
CCUACGGGUGGCUGCAGUGAGGAAUAUUGGUCAAUGGGCGCGAGCCUGAACCAGCCAAGUCGCGUGAAGGAUGACUGUUCUACGGGUUGUAAACCUCUUUUAUAAGGGAAUAAAGUGAGGCACGUGUGCUUUUUUGUAUGUACUUUAUGAAUAAGGAUCGGCUAACUCCGUGCCAGCAGCCGCGGUAAUACGGAGGAUCCGAGCGUUAUCCGGAUUUAUUGGGUUUAAAGGGAGCGUAGAUGGGUUGUUAAGUCAGUGGUGAAAGUUUGGGGCUCAACCGUAAAAUUGCAAUUGAUACUGGCAGUCUUGAGUGCAGGUGAGGUAGGCGGAAUUCGUGGUGUAGCGGUGAAAUGCUUAGAUAUCACGAAGAACACCGAUUGCGAAGGCAGCUUACUAGACUGCAACUGACAUUGAUGCUCGAAAGUGUGGGUAUCAAACAGGAUUAGAUACCCCUGUAGUC